rnacentral:tRNA from 1 species
AGGAAUUUAGGUUAAACACAGACCGAGAGCCUUCAAAGCCCUAAGCAAAUGAAUAUACGUUUAAUUCCUG